rnacentral:rRNA from 1 species
UACGUAGGGACCGAGCGUUGUCCGGAUUCAUUGGGCGUAAAGAGCUCGUAGGCGGCUGCUCAAGUCGAAUGUGAAAACUCGAGGCUCAACCUCGAGCCUGCAUUCGAUACUGGGCGGCUAGAGUCUGGUAGGGGGAUCUGGAAUUCCUGGUGUAGCGGUGGAAUGCGCAGAUAUCAGGAGGAACACCCGUGGCGAAGGCGGCUCUCUGGUACGUGACUGACGCUGAGACGCGAAAGCGUGGGGAGCAAACAGG